UACGGAGGGUGCAAGCGUUGUUCGGAUUUAUUGGGCGUAAAGCGAGUGUAGGCGGUUUGACAAGUCGGGUGUGAAAGCCCAGGGCCCAACCCUGGAACUGCAUCCGAUACUGUUAGGCUAGAGUCCCGGAGAGGAUGGCGGAAUUCCCGGUGUAGGGGUGAAAUCCGUAGAUAUCGGGGAGGAACACCAGUGGCGAAGGC
rnacentral:rRNA from 1 species